rnacentral:rRNA from 4 species
GUUGGGUAACACUAACUGGAGGACCGAACCGACUAAUGUUGAAAAAUUAGCGGAUGACCUGUGGCUGGGGGUGAAAGGCCAAUCAAACCGGGAGAUAGCUGGUUCUCCCCGAAAGCUAUUUAGGUAGCGCCUCGUGAAUUCAUCUCCGGGGGUAGAGCACUGUUUCGGCUAGGGGGCCAUCCCGGCUUACCAACCCGAUGCAAACUGCGAAUACCGGAGAAUGUUAUCACGGGAGACACACGGCGGGUGCUAACGUCCGUCGUGAAGAGGGAAACAACCCAGACCGCCAGCUAAGGUCCCAAAGUCAUGGUUAAGUGGGAAACGAUGUGGGAAGGCCCAGACAGCCAGGAUGUUGGCUUAGAAGCAGCCAUCAUUUAAAGAAAGCGUAAUAGCUCACUGGUCGAGUCGGCCUGCGCGGAAGAUGUAACGGGGCUAAACCAUG